rnacentral:lncRNA from 1 species
CUCACACACAUCCAUGAGGGAAGAAUCAUUCCCAUUUAACAGACAAUGUAACUGGGCCUGAAUAUAGCUCAGCGACUUGCCCCAGGCCCACCAGGAAGUGGAUAAAGCCAUGCUCAACCCAGCACUUCUUCUCUCUACCUUCCACCGAUCCUGCCUGCUCAUCUUCCCUCCUUGGUGAAGAACUCAACCAUCUCAUGCUCCUACUACCAUGGUUGACGAGGAAGCUGAGCCACCAGACAGAGCAGUGGUGACCUACAGAGCCGUGCUUUCAUGACCAUAUGGCCUCUCAGCCGCGGGACUUGCCACACUGUCCCAUACAAUCCUCUGUCAUUUUAGUAUCUGUCACUGCCAGGUCUUCUUCACACCAGCUUGUGAGAAAAAAUGGUGCAUCACUUCUCAAUCCUGGUUUUAGUGACAUCAUAUUGAUAGCUUGAACUUUGCCAUAUUUACAUCACAGAAAUCAGUAAACACCAUUAAAAAGGCUUUUGUUUUCUUCCUUUUUUUUUUCUCAGAGAGCCAGUUAUUAAACAUUUACCAACAUGUGCAAGAACGGGUUUCAAGGCCGAGGUGGGCAGAUCACAAGGUCAGGACUUUGAGACCAGCCUGGCCAAUAUGGUGAAACCCCAUUUCUACUAAAAAUACAAAAAAAUUAGCCAGGCGUGGUGAUGCAUGCCUGUAAUCCCAGCUACUCGGUAGGCUGAGGCAGGAGAAUUGCUUGAACCCGGGAGGCGGAGGUUUGCAGUGAGCCAAGAUCGCGCCACUGCACUCCAGCCUGGCAACAGAGCAAGACUCCGUCUCAAACAAAACACAGCACAACAAAACAAAAAAGAACGAGUUUCAUAGUGAGAAACAGCGGAGAAACCAGCUUACCUGGUGGGCCUUGAGUGGCCCCUACAAACUCCAACCUGUUCAAGACUCAUUUGCCACGUUGUACCUUCCAGCCAAGGCAAUCCCCCCAGCCUGAGCUACUUCCCAGACCAGACCACAGAAGCAAGGCCAUGCUCACCGAGGACCCCACUUGUGGACUAGACUUCUGUCCUGCUGUGGCCUCAAAAGCAAUAGCCAGGGCCCCAUGAUGAAGCUGCCAUCAGAAGCACAGGUGUGCCUGGCAAGGACACAGGAGGACCACGGCUCCAUGCCGAUGAGAAUGGCAGCUAAGUCUGAAGCUUUCUAUGAUUUAGAUUCCUGGUUGCGAGAGGGAGCCUAUAGGAAUGGCGAGAAGAGUGAGAACUUUGCAGAGGCAGCAAGGAUUUUCUCUUUGGGUCACCGCGUGUUCUUUGGGGUCAUAUAAAGUACUCUGCUCAAGAACAAAGGCCAGUGUGGCUAUGAUGAAAAUGCAUUGACAGAGGGGCUUCAAUGUCUAUGGAACAGAAACAAGAGCCCUGGACCAAGAGGAGGAAAUGUGGAUUCACCAACAUGUUGAAAAUCAUUCUAACAUCUCCAGGCCUCAGCGUGGUCAUUCACAAAUGGAAUUCAACAAUUUCUAAGGUCCCUGUAACUAGCUUUGACAAAGAGAACACAGUGGAAGUGAUCCUGCCCACCCCUUUUCCAAGGUAGACCUUAAAAGACCUGUAGCUUCCACUAUUGUGCCUCCUAGAAGCCUGUACCAUGUAAGAAUUCUAACUACCAUGGGAACAUCAUGCUGUGAGGAAGCCCAAGCUAGCCAUUUGGGAGAGAGGAAGGCCACGUAGAGAAGCACCAAGAAACUAGACAUGUUUGUGAAGCCUACUUGAACUUUCCAGCCCAACUCCAGCUGAAUGCAUCCAAGUGAAUGGCCCCAGCUGAUCCCCUGUGGAGCAGAACCACCCUGCUGACUCCUGACUGAAUCCCUGAUCCACAGAAUUUGGCUAUGGGCUCAGAUCCUCUCUUACUUCAAGGGAUCUGGGCUGGAUGCUUGGGCGCGAGAGAGAAGAAUGGCUCUCAACUGGGCGGGGAAGAGUAGCCCGCAAGGAGGCAGCGGCUCCAGGAUGGGAAGUGAGGAUGCCAAAAAAGCAUCCCUAGGAAGGUUCCUGCCUUUCCACGAGGCUAUGGGGC